GAUGAACGCUAGCGGCAGGCUUAACACAUGCAAGUCGAGGGGUAGAGUUCUUCGGAACUUGAGACCGGCGCACGGGUGCGUAACGCGUAUGCAAUCUACCUUUUACAGAGGGAUAGCCCAGAGAAAUUUGGAUUAAUACCUCAUAGUAUAGUACAACCGCAUGGUUGAACUAUUAAAGUCACAACGGUAAAAGAUGAGCAUGCGUCCCAUUAGCUAGUUGGUAAGGUAACGGCUUACCAAGGCUACGAUGGGUAGGGGUCCUGAGAGGGAGAUCCCCCACACUGGUACUGAGACACGGACCAGACUCCUACGGGAGGCAGCAGUGAGGAAUAUUGGACAAUGGGCGCAAGCCUGAUCCAGCCAUGCCGCGUGCAGGAUGACGGUCCUAUGGAUUGUAAACUGCUUUUAUACGAGAAGAAACACUCCGACGUGUCGGAGCUUGACGGUAUCGUAAGAAUAAGGAUCGGCUAACUCCGUGCCAGCAGCCGCGGUAAUACGGAGGAUCCAAGCGUUAUCCGGAAUCAUUGGGUUUAAAGGGUCCGUAGGCGGUUUAAUAAGUCAGUGGUGAAAGCCCAUCGCUCAACGGUGGAACGGCCAUUGAUACUGUUAAACUUGAAUUAUUAGGAAGUAACUAGAAUAUGUAGUGUAGCGGUGAAAUGCUUAGAGAUUACAUGGAAUACCAAUUGCGAAGGCAGGUUACUACUAAUGGAUUGACGCUGAUG
rnacentral:rRNA from 1 species